UCUGACUGACCCAUCGGAUUUCAGACUUGCAUGGGGUCUGUAGCCCCUUCAUUUUGGCCAAUUUCUCCCAUUUUGGAUAGGUGUAUUUACCCAAUGCCUGUACCCCCAUAGUAUCUAGGAAGUAACUAACUUGCUUUUGAUUUUACAGGCUCAUAGAUGGAAGGGACUUGCCUUGUCUCAGAUGAGACUUUGGACUUGGACAUUUGGGUUAAUGAUAGAAUGAGUUAAGAUAUUGGGGCACUGUUGGGAAGGCAUGAUUGUGUUUUGAAAUGUGACGACAUGAGAUUUGGGAGGGGCCGGGGGAGGAAUGAUAUGGUUUGGCUGUGUCUGCACCCAAAUGUCAUCUUGAAUUGUAGUUCCCAUAACCUCCACAUGUUGUGGGAGGUAAUUGAAUCAUGGAGGUAGUUACCCCUAUGCUGCUGUUUUUGUGAUAGUGAGUUCUCAUGAGAUCUGAUGGUUUUAUAAGGAGCUUUUCCCUCUUUGCUUAGCACUACUCCUUGCCGCCACCAUGCAAAGAACAAUGUGUUUGCUUCCCCUUCUGCCAUGAUUGUAGGUGUCCUGAGGCCUCCCAGCCCUGCAGAACAAUGUGGAAAUUGAGGCUCAUAAAGGUUAACAUCCCCAAAUAAGGGUCUACGUCCAAAUCCUAUGCUCUUAAGUCCUAUAUUGUCUCCCAAAUGAAGAGGGUCUUCUCGUGAAAAUGGCCUGGAAGUGGUAUAGGGAGCUAAAGAUGAUAAAAACCUAUCUCCUGGCUUUGGCUUAUGAGGAGAUAGUAUCAGAUCCCACAGGUUUGAUCCUACAAGACUGCCCAACUUCAGAUGCCGACUGCAAACCCCAGGCUGUGGCCUGAUCAGCUGGCUAUAAAUUGGACUUCCAAUGACCCCCACCUUGAAUUCUAUUAAUUUGCUGGAGCAGCUCACAGAACUUGGGGAAACACUUUAUUUACCUCUACUCAUUUAUUAUAAAGAAAGGAUACAAAGAGCCAGAUGGAAGAGAUGCAUAAAGGAAG
rnacentral:lncRNA from 1 species